GGGGGUUUCUUGUCGCAGGAGAGACGGCACUUGCUCUUGUGUAGCAAAUUGCAAGCGGCAAUCGCCGCUCUCCUGUGACAAGAUACCCUU
rfam:Vitis vinifera, whole genome shotgun sequence of line PN40024, unoriented chromosome 14, chr14